rnacentral:rRNA from 1 species
AUUAAACGCUGGCGGCAGGCUUAACACAUGCAAGUCGAGCGGAGAUGAGGUGCUUGCACCUUAUCUUAGCGGCGGACGGGUGAGUAAUGCUUAGGAAUCUGCCUAUUAGUGGGGGACAACAUUCCGAAAGGAAUGCUAAUACCGCAUACGUCCUACGGGAGAAAGCAGGGGAUCUUCGGACCUUGCGCUAAUAGAUGAGCCUAAGUCGGAUUAGCUAGUUGGUGGGGUAAAGGCCUACCAAGGCGACGCUCUGUAGCGGGUCUGAGAGGAUGAGCCGGCACGCUGGGACUGAGACACGGCCCAGACUCCUAGGGGAGGCAGCAGUGGGGAAUAUUGGACAAUGGGGGAAACCCUGAUCCAGCCAUGCCGCGUGUGUGAAGAAGGCCUUAUGGUUGUAAAGCACUUUAAGCGAGGAGGAGGCUACUGAGACUAAUACUCUUGGAUAGUGGACGUUACUCGCAGAAUAAGCACCGGCUAACUCUGUGCCAGCCGCCGCCGUAA